rnacentral:tRNA from 1 species
GCAGGAUUCGUAUAUCGGUAGUACAACAGCUUCCCAAGCUGUGAAGGCGGGUUCGACUCCCGUAUCCUGCUCCA